rnacentral:rRNA from 1 species
GACGGAGGAUGCAAGUGUUAUCCGGAAUCACUGGGCGUAAAGCGUCUGUAGGUGGUCAAAUAAGUCAACUGUUAAAUCUUGAGGCUCAACCUCAAAAUCGCAGUCGAAACUAUUCGACUAGAGUAUAGUAGGGGUAAAGGGAAUUUCCAGUGGAGCGGUGAAAUGCGUAGAGAUUGGAAAGAACAUCGAUGGCGAAGGCACUUUACUGGGCUAUUACUAACACUGAGAGACGAAAGCUAGGGUAGCAAAUGGG